rnacentral:lncRNA from 1 species
CACUGACCCUUUUCGGACUCAGCCUGCCUGCACCCAGGUGAAGUGAGCAACAGCCAUGUUGCUCACACAAAGCCUGUUUGGUGGUCUCUUCACAUGGACGCGCAUGAAAUUUGGUGCCGUGACUCGGAUCGGGGGACCUCCCUUGGGAGAUCAAUCCCCUGUCCUCCUGCUCUUUGCUCCGUGAGAAAGAUCCACCUACGACCUCAGGUCUUCAGACCGACCAGCCCAAGAAACAUCUCACCAAUUUCAAAUCCGAGCCCAAGCUGAGAAUCUAUAAGAGCAGGAACAAAAUACUUUUCUUCCCGAGGUAAGUAUGGACAAAUUGCUCUCCAAGUGGUUAUAACAUUUUAUAUUCCAACCAGCAGUAUAUAAGCACUCCUCACUUUGUCCUUAAUCAUAUUGUUAACUACCCAAGGUCAGUUAAAUCAAUCCUGGGAAAUAACUUUUUAAAAUAAGAAAAUGCCGUUCUUUCAUCACUUUCUUUAGAAGAAAGUGAGCCCAUCCAUUACUUGUUCAUUUAUUUUCAAAUAAAAAAUGUAUUUCUCUUUUA